AGGCUAACACUUGCUUUAUGGCACUGUCCAUAGGGGGCUGCAAAACAGAAGAGCUAUUUUAGCUGUUAUCUGUUAGACCGCUCUUUGCUAAUCACCACUACCAUUUAUGGAGCUAUCAUGGGCCAGUCUUAGAUUGGGCAUUUGGUGCGACUUAUCCCAGGCAAUUCUGAAAGCAACUCUAUGAGAUAUCCAUACACCAGUCCACAUUACAGAUGAGAAAACUCAGGCUCAGAAAAGUUAAGCAAGUUAUCCAAGAUUACACAGCAUUUACAGGACAGAGAGGGAUUCAGGCUCAGGUCUGGGGCACUGCUAAGUUUCUGCUUAUGUCGCUCUCUUACAUUUCAAGAAAUGUAAUCCGUCUCACGUGUAUUUGAGCCCCUGCAAAAUAAGCCUUAAUGUAAUGGAGUUGUAGCAAACCUUACUGAUUUUGUAUUUCUCCAACCCAGGCCUAGUGAUAGGCUUUUUCUCUCUUAUGUUGGUUGAAAAACAUGCCCUCUCAACCCACUGUGCAGACUGAGCAAUUGAUGCAUAGGCACAGGAGGCCACUAGGCCAGAGAAAGGUGGGGGAUUAGAACUCAGGUCACAUAGUGUCAGAGAGCAGAUGGAAGGCCAAGAGGAGAAAGGGGUCAUCGGGGAGAUGCCUGUGGUAGGCAGGUCUGUCUGCAGUUCAGCUCCUGUGAGGUCCUGGCACCAGGGUCAAACCAUCUCCCAUCUGUACCUUCUCAUUCUACCUUUCAGGAAUAGCUUUUGCCCAGGCUCUGCAGCCCAACAUUGCCCUCGCUGUGGGCCCAGCUCACAUAGCCCUCCUGCCUGGCCUCUCCUGACCUUUCCUGCCCCACAGCAAUCAUGCACUCCUCUGAACUCCUCUGCAAUUACAAUUUAAAUAAUUCAUUUGGCAAUUAAUCAUAUCUUGCCUUGUGACAUCUCUUCUGUUCCACGUUGAGCUGUUAUUUAGAAGUGCAAUUGUUUAACUUCCCAUGAGCAGCAUAUGCUGCCUUGCUAAUCUAGUCCAGUUUUUUGUUGUUUCUUUCCUGGCAGUCAAUCAAACCAGGGGUAACAAUUUGAGGCCCCAUUGGUGGGGGGUAGGCAGUGGGCAGAGAUCCCCAUUCAGGAGGCCAUGGAGCAGGCAGCCAAGAGCCCUCUGACAACAGCCUCUUAGAGAGCAAGACUGCCAUCACACUCCUCAGCCUCCUUUUCUCCUGAUUCCCCCAGUUAUGAAACAGCUCUGGAUACAAACAAUCUCAGGAAUUUUCCAUGCAUUUGUACAGUCUCCUUGACUGGAUUAGAUUUCCUGUGGGCAAGGACCAUUCAUUCUAUUUUCAGUGAGGCUGCCUAACAUGAUGUGGCAAAUCCUGAAAUGAGGGAGAGAAGCCUGAGAAUUGAGUCCCAGCUCUGCCACUUACUACCCAUCAGCCCAAAUGAAACUUGGGCUUGGAGAAUGAAGUAAGUUGCUCAGUGCCCCACCGAUAGUAAGAUCAAGCUGAGAUCCCACCCUCUGGAACGUGUGUGCAUAGAGCACCUAUUGACUUCCUUGCUCCAGCUGCAUCUGGACGCAGUGAUCAAAUCCAGUGGCAGCCUGUUUGGUCUGGUGUUUUCGCUGCUUCUCUAUCAACUGCUCCACAUCCGAUGCCUCACCUGUGCAGUGGGUAAUGGGAUUUGAUGGUUAAGGUGACCACAGCUCAGCCAAGCCACAGGCCAUUCACCCCUAUCCCACAGCACAUGCUGCUUCUGGCUUAGGUUUGUAGGGGCAUCAUGGUCCUCAGUGUUUGAACGUGAAUGGGGUGGCCAGGGCUGCUGGAGGCCUACUCCUCUCUAAGCCUGCAGAACUCCUCUGGAGGCCUUGGCAACUCUAGCUCCAGGCCCUGAUGGGCAGACCUUGGCACUUUUCCUGGGAAGGCAGGAGCAGGAGAUCAGCGUGACAGAACUGGCUCAUGAGAAAGGGAACUCAUAGUCUGCAGUAUCCCAGCUGAGAACGUUCCAACCUGUCCUUUCUGAUAAAUUUAGCUCUAUUCACCUGUAAGGGCCUAUCUGAGUCCUCCUUCUUCUGGAAAACUCAUUUCUUUUUCUCAACCUACCAUUGCACGUGUUGUGUGCUCUACACACUUUGGAAGUACAAUGAACUUUAGAGUAUGCAGUCCAACCUCCUAGCCAAUUCUGGAAUCCCUUCUUCAUCUUCUCCACUGUAUUCAUCCUCUGCUUGAUUCCCUACCUUUUAAAGUAGCCCAUUCCUUGAUGAGAUAGCUCUAAGCAAUCAAAAUUUUUUCCUCUCUUUGAGCAGAAAUAUGCCUCUGGACUUGGUUCAUGAGAAGUCUUCAGAUCUUUAAAGAGAACCACUGGGGCCCCUUGGGGGUCUCCCCUUCUCCAAGAAAAACCUGAGGAACCUCAAGUAACAUGGUCUCCAGACUUUCAACACCCCCUGAGAAUAGCUUCUUCAUGUCCCUGUAAGUGGUUCCCAGACCUUAGUAUAAAUCACAAUCGACUGGGGUGCUUGGUAAAAAUACUGAUUUUGGGGGCCUCAUCCUGGAGGGAGGUGGGGAACAUGUGUACUUUUUCAGCAAGUGGAGAAAGCAAACCCCAAACAGUGUGUUUCCUAAAUGCUGUGCCUUCAGAAGACAGUGCCAAAUGGGGCUAUUUGCAGUUGUAUUGGGGAAUGUAUAUUCAAAAGGUUUAAAUGACAUCAUUUGAGCAGUAACUCAUAGAACACUAGGAUAGUCUCCAUUACCCUUGAAAAAAUGACCAAGGCUCAUUAAAAGCAAAUUUAAGCUAGAAAAUAUACAAAUUAACCAACCAUAGUUUUGAAACGCUUUUCUUGCUAACAUAUUACAUCUGCUAGGCUGGAGGCUUGGAAUUACCGCAUGAGGCAUGUGCAGAAUUGCAAGGGCCAAGAUCUAAACGAAGACCCCUGCAAAGCUACCCAAAAGUCAAGUGGCAUGGCAGGAGACAUCCUGAACUUCUGGGGAGAAGCAGGUGGCAGGGGGAUGUGGAAGCCCCACCUGGGGCUCCCUGCAUUUAUGUACAGUGUCACAAUUAAUCCUCAGAGCAGCACUGACAGAGAGUUCAUUCUCAUUCUAUAAGGGAGGAAACUGGGGCUCAGUGUGAUUAAGGCACAUGAUUACAGCAGGUCUUGCAGUAAACACUCCAAACACAUGCUCCUUUCCUUCCACCACAAUGCAUUAUUAUUCAUUCUCUUUUUGUUUCAUGUGUGAAAAUCUCAGGUCCCCAGGAAACUAUGUAAUCACAAGGCCCAGACCAUGCCUCUGACCUCUCCCACCCUCACCUUACCCCACAGGCAGGGUGGGCAAACCAGUGGCACUCAGGAAAGUGUGCCGAAGUGAAUUGCACUGGUUCCUAGUACUGUGUGAUUCAUGAGGAUGUAUAGGGAGAGAAAGUGAGGAUGAUGCUCUAUGACUCCUCUUGCUGCUCUGUGGCUACAAAUACCUGCCCCCUUGCCCAGCUGCCCCUGCCUAUUCCUCAAGAAUGUUCAGGGAAGGGUCCCUAAAGAAAGGUACUAGAUAUUGCACCAGCAUUAUUAUAAUUAUUAUUAAAAUCCCCUGGUUUUGCCAGGGCCCCAUUGUUACUCAGAAGGAGUCUCUCAACCUAGCCCUGGCUUUUGACCUUCAACUCCCUACAUAUCCUGGUGCUCUUUGCUUGUGGAAAUGAGUUAAAUGCUUGAGCUCUUGCAUAGGAUCAUGAUCAAACUUUAUAUUAGGAAGCAGAUUUAGCAGUCAGCUCUAUUUUCCUUUGUGUGAACUUUCUUAUCUUGUCUGCGUCCUCACUGUGACCACUCUAGUCGUGCGUUUGCUAUGAUGUGGAGAAGAAAAUGGAUGAUGGGAAAGAAUCCAGUGGUUUUGCAUCUGCCCCAGCAGAGCUAGGGGUAGAACCUGCCAUACAAUUGUCCCCAUGGUUCCAGUGGAGCAGCACAGGGGUCAGUAGGGGUGAGCCCAAUUUCAGGAGGUUAUGCCUUGCAAUUGAAGGAGGAUGGGCAGGGGGUCAGGGACUCUAAAAUCCUAACAGUCUACAGCAGUGGUUCCCAGACCUUAGUAUAAAUCACAACCGACUGGGGUGCUUGGUGAAAGUACUGAUUUUAGGGGCUUCAUUCUGGAAAUCCUGCCAAUGACAAGAACCUGCGCUGUGUGCUGCUUACUACACCAAGGAUGAUGCUAAGAGCAUUAUAGGUACCAACUCACUUGGUCCUCAUAACCACCCCCCAGUGAGCAAGCACUCCUCUCUCCAUAGCCCAUAUGAAGAGACUGGAGGAUAGGGAGAGGUAUGGCAUGUCAAAAGGCAGAGCCAGGACUUGAAGAGUCCCUGUUCUUUCCUCUCUUCCCGGGCUGGAGGUUUGUGAAGGGCCUGGGAAGCUGCAUCUUCUAAGCUAGUGCAGGCAGUCUAGAGACCACACCUGGAGAGUCUGAGCUCUGAGGCUGGGGAUGCUCAUCACAGCCCACCUGCCCUGACACACCAGGGAGGUGUCCGUUUAGAAAUUUAACCUCCUCUGUAAAAUGCCCCAGGGACCCCUAUCUCCUUGGGAUCAUAAUCUUCUCAGUGACACAGUAGAGGCUGCAGAGAAGAGUGAGUCCAGGAGGGCCACAUUGGUUUAGUCUGAUGAGCAUUGCCCACACUCAGCACUGUGGGAAGACCACCAUCGUCUUUGUCUGCAUCAGCAAACUUUGGAUGAACCAUUGAGUGCCGAAUUCCACUGGGCACUGGGGACACAGAAAGGAUAAGACUGGGUCCUUGAGUUUAUGUGGGGGUAUCAGGGGAUGCUCAGUAAAUGAAACCCACUCAAGUCUUUUGUCUCAGGCAGCAGAAACUCUCGGGCGUGGCCUAUGAAGUCUAUUCUUUGUCUUUUUACCUUUGUGGUCUCAUAGCCUCCGACUCCUUGAUUCAUGCUUUGUAUGUUAGUCCAGGUUUUCUCAAAGGUUGGUCUUUGCAUAUCAUCUUAAAGAGACUUUCUACUAUAUGAGUAUCACCUGCACAAUUAUUAACUUAAUAUAUUUUAAACUGAUUUAUGCUUUUUUACUUACAAUUAAUUCUUUUAAAAGGAAAUUUUUGUGUUAGUUACAUAUUUUUUUCUAAUGCACAGAACAAUGAUUCUCAAGCAUAGGAUCCAGCCAGGGGUGAAAUCCUGUCACUCAAAUGUCCCUGUAACCCCAGUGGAAUGAAGGGAACAAAGGGAGGGGUCGCCAGAGUGGGAUCCCAGUGGAAGGAAAUUGUAAUUGAAGGAGAGAAGGAGGGGCAUCCUGGUACCAGCCAGAUUCAUCUCAAGUCCAUGUUCCAUGCUUUUGGAAACACCGCUCAGGCCACUCACCCCAGCCUGUGCUUUCUGAAACAAGCUAUGCUAUUCUGCUCCUCUGAGUCUUCACACACCCUGUUUGCUCCUCCUGGAGGUCCUUACCAUGGCAAGAUACUGGGAGAAAAGAAUGCAUUAUUGUCCAUUGUACCACCUCUUCCCAACACUUUUCUCCACCUGCCUUUCUCCUGCUCACAUACAUUUUCUCAUUCUGCCUAAAGAAUAUCCACUCUUCUUUGAGAUUUUGCUCCACAGUGGACUCCUGGUGAUGCCAUACUGGUCACCCCCAGGCAGAGUUCUUCUGCCUGUCCCACUCCCACAGCACUUUGAGCAUGUCUGCAUGCUCUGUUAGGAAGCAGGGACUGGACAGAGACACUUAUGGGCAUCUCCGUAUCUCCGGUGCCUAGCAGAGUUGAUUUUUUUUUAAAUGACAAUUUUGGAACGGUCAUCAUAUGCCAGAGUUUGUGCUAAGAGCUCCAUGUAUAUUACAUCAUGCACUCCUGCAGCAACUUUUAUCCCCAUUUUAAAGGUAAGGAAAUCGAGGCCCAGAGAGUUUAAAAUUGCCCAACAUCAUACAGAAAGUACAGAGUAGGGAUUCACACCCAGGUCUGUUGGAUUUCAGGGCCUCUGCAUAUUAACACUACACCAUUCAACCAUGGUCAUUGGAGGACAACGUAUGCUUGGUGAAUAAAUAAAUGGUACAAAUGAAUGAAUGAAUGAGUGAAUGAAAGAACACAGAAUGGUGUUUUCUGGGGCUGUACAUGUCCAGCCUGAGUGACCAGUUGUACGCUGGCCCAGAUUUAUUAGGUGGGAGGUGAUUGUAAAGUGUGUUAAGAAUGAAGAAUAGCAUGCUCUGGUUUUGGAAUGCCAAAAAAAAAAAAAAAAAAAAAAAAAGCCCAGAAUUUAUGGGCCAGUGGAAGUAAGAAAGGAGACAAACAUUGAAGAUGGCAUUUUGCUUCCUGUACCCCAGCUGCCUCCAAAGGAUUAACUUCUUGAGAGCAGGGCCUGCUUUGUGUCCUCACUUUAUAAUCCUGCUCCUGGCAAAAAGUGGGUGCUCAGUGAAUGCCCACACAAUUCAGUCAUCAAAUCUGAGCUUAUUCCUUUUAUUCAUUGGUUCAUGGUAGGCUUGGUUCAGAGCUUGGUUUCACUGUCUACUUCUGCACAGGGCUUCAUCCUGCCAGCACUCAAUGGAGAAACGUGGGCCCCGGCACAGUGGGAACGACCCUCUUCUGGGCCUUGGUUCCCUCUACUAUAAAAUCCAACUUGUUAGACUGGAUUCUUGGAAGUCCUUCUUGAUGCGACAUUUGCCAGCCUAGGUCCAGCCAGGGGUGGGGCUUGCAGACCCAGCUCUCUGAGACACAAUUGCAGGUCUUCCUGAAGGGGAGGGGGCCAUUACAAACACUGUCCUCACGCCUCCAGCAGGUGACUCCUGGCACAGCUGGGAGAGUGAGCUGCUUCUUCUGCUCAGACAGCAGGCCUAGGAAAUUAUUCAGGAAUAACAAACAGGCCAGAAACAUUUGCAUAAGGAAUCACACAGAACAAUGCUUGUUAUUUAAACCAUCUCUGGUUGGCAACAGAAGCAAAAAGCAGCUGAGAUAAAUCUGCAAUGCAAAUCAGCCUUAUUUGGAGCGGAGCCUCAGCUUGUUUUGGGGGUGGGGGUGUUGCAAGAGACUGGGAGAACAGAAAGCAUCAUUGUUUCUAUGUACCCCCACUUCCCAACAACACUUUUCUCCGCCUGCCCUUCUCCUGCUCACGUACAUUUUCUCAUUUCUCAGCUUCCCUCCCUUCUUCAGAGAUUAAUGGAAACAAUUUGUCUUCUAAUGUGACUACAGCUUAUGAAUUCUUUGUCUCACUCUAAUCCUUUAAAUUAUCCACAUAAUAAAAUAUGUAUCCAGUGA